AUGAAGAAGACACGUUCAAAUAUAUUUCGUGACAUUUAUUAUCAGCCAUACAAUGAUUAUACGAGGAUGAAGCUUUAUUCCAGCAGUAAAGCAAGUCUUCAAAUGAUGCAGCGUAUGGCAUUAUUGAGAAGAUUAAAAGUUCAUAAUGGUUGUGUAAAUUCUGUUUGUUGGAAUGCUACUGGAGAAUUGAUAUUAUCUGGUAGUGAUGAUCAACAUCUUGUCCUUACAAAUGCUUAUAAUUAUGAGGUAUUAACAGAUUAUAAAACCAGUCAUAGAGCGAAUAUAUUUAGUGCAAAGUUUUUGCCUAAUAGUGGAGAUCAUCGGAUAGUUUCUUGUAGUGGUGAUGGUAUUAUUUUAUAUACAGAUUUAAUAAGAAGAACAAAAACAUUUAAUAAUCAAUUUAAUUGUCAUGUUGGUACUACAUAUGAAAUAGCGACAAUACCUGGCGAACCGCAUAAUUUUUUAAGUUGCGGAGAAGAUGGAACUGUGAGAUGGUUUGAUCUUAGAAUAAAGGAUAAAUGUAAUGCUUCAAGAUGUACAGAAGAUGUAUUAGUUUCGUGCGAAAGAGCUAUAACUGCUCUUUCUGUAAAUCUUGCUUCACCCCAUCAAAUAGCAAUAGGAUGUUCUGAUAGUACAGUUAGAAUACUUGAUAGAAGAACACUUGGAACACCUGCCACUGGAUGGACAGAUACACCUGGAGCAGUAAAACCUUUAUGUACUUUCACUGUUCCUGAAUUUGAAGGAAAUUCUUAUAGAAUAACAUCUUUAAAUUAUAGCCCUGAUGGUCAGGAUGUUCUUGUUAGUUAUAGCAGUGAUCAUCUUUAUUUGUUCAAUGUGAAGGACCAAGCUAGUGUACAGUUAAAGAAAGAUAUCGCAGUUAGAAAAGGGGAGGGUAAGAAGCAAAGAUUACGUUCGCCAUUACCAGUACGUAGAUUAAGACUUAGAGGAGAUUGGUCUGAUACUGGUCCUGAUGCUCGACCUGAGUGUGAGGGAGGUCGACGUAGCGGUACAGAAAUUGCUCAAGCCAGACCUGUUCUUCAAACAUCGUUAAUGCAAAGAAUGACGGAUGUUCUUAGUAGAAUGUUAAAUGAUCCAGCUACUAGAGCUGCAUUAUGUGGCGGUGGUGAAGAUAGUUUGGAAGGUGUGAUUGAUCAUCAAGAUAAUACUCAAAAUAACAACGAAAAUGUUACAGAAUCUAAUGAAGAAAGACGGGAUAACGAAGUCGAAAGAAUUGAAAGAACUCAGAUUCAAUCUAAUCAAAACCAUCAAAUGAACAAAUCUGAAAAUCCAAGUACUAGUGGCAUGCAAAGUAAUCCUGGAACAAGUCAUUCCGUGGAAACAAAAGAGAAAGUGUCAUCUAAUGAUACUAUGCCUUCAAAUCAAACGAUGGAGGAAUGUUCGCCAGUCGAACUCAAAUCAAAUAUUCCUAUGGAAAUUGAAUCUAGUCUUGUAGAAACUCAAAAGUAUUCUACACAACCGUGUUCAUCGCAUACUUUGGAUAAAACCAAUGAUAUACCAGAAGAUGAUCAAAGUAGCAAUGAUGAUUCUCCUUGUAGCAGUAUGGAAAAUAAACAGGAAGGGCAUAUGAUGGAAAAUCUUCAAGAUAGAUUGACGAAAAUGAGAGUUGGGUUUCUUGAAAAACACGGCAGCGAACCUGCUGUAAGUUUAACUUAUACGGAUAAAAGUUCAACAAGCGCAACGAUAUCUCUUGGUGUAGCUGAUGAGAUGAUUCGUGAUGGUUAUCACGCUGGACCAUCUGGAACUAGUGGAACAUUCUCAGGCAAAAAUCAUGACAAACAUAUACGAUAUAAUGAUAUGAUACAAGAAAAGACUGAUGAGAGCGCUUUUAGUGAUAGCGAUGAUGAAGAUAUACAAUCUGAGGAAAGAUUAGAAAAUUCAGCUGAAACUGAAAUGGAAGAGGCUAUUGGAGAUGUUCGAACACGACGAGAGUCGGCGACUUUCGACAAAACUAGUGUAACAGAACUUCGUGUGAAGCAGAAAUAUAUGGGGCAUCGUAAUGCUAGUUUCUUUAGGACUAUGAUCAAAGAAGCAAACUUUUGGGGCAACGAUUUCGUCAUGUCGGGUAGUGAUUGUGGCCACGUCUUCAUAUGGGAAAAAGAUACGGCCAGAUUGUGUAUGCUAUUGGAAGCCGACCAACACGUCGUUAACUGUUUACAACCACAUCCGUACCUGCCAUUACUGGCCACAGCCGGUAUUGAUUAUGAUGUUAAGCUUUGGGCACCAAUAAAUGAAGAGUCUAGUUUUGAUGAAAAGUUUGCUGAAGAUUUGAAAAAGAGGAAUGCAGUCAUGUUGGAAGAGACGAAAGACACAAUGACUGUGCCGGCUGUUUUUAUGAUUAGAAUGCUGGCAUGUCUCAAUCAGAUACGCAGAGGUAGUGAAAAUUUAUAAUACUUUUCAAGAUCUUCUGAUAGUACACUACAUUAAUAUGAUCAACGUAAUUAAGAAUAAUAUACUGAAGAAAUUCGGCCGCUUUUCCCCUUUAAUGUGCAGGACGCGGCCGGAACAGGAGGAGGAGCGGCGACGAGACCGGCGAAUUACGAGGUGGUUAAGAUGUUUUCGACGAUAUUGCCGUCUGUGAAGAUCCGGGAUCUCAAUUGAAGCAGUCCUUAUCGCAACGUCGACUGAUCGUACUUCGAAUUUGUCUUUGAAAAGAAAAAAGAAAAAAAAAAUGAAAAGAAGAAAAACCGAGAACAAAAAAAGAGAAGAGAAAAGUCCGUAUAUUUAUGAUUUAUCAUUGCAAAAGUAAUUGUUAAUUGUAAGGAUAUUUAAUCUGAUAAGCUUUGAGUAUCAUUAUCGCAACGAGAGAUAAGUUGAUUUCUUUUCUGUUCACUCUUUUCUUCUAUCGCUUCUUUUCUUAUUCUGAUUCUGUUUAUACUUCAUGUUCAAUGUAUCCAGUUUGUGCAAAUUAAUUGCUUCUGAAAUUAUUUGAAUUUAUAAAGUUAUUUAGUUUGGAGAAGAAGACACAACGUUAAAUAUUUUCGAUAUUUUAUAUAGGAACUUUAAUGUCAGGUUCGAUUCCAUAAAAGGAACCAUAUAUACACGUUAUUUAGGAAGUACACUUGUUGAUUAACUAUUUAUCACGUGUUUCUUAAUAAUAUAUUAUAGCUGUUUUAGUUGAGUGAUAAUUGAUCAGAAAUGCACUUUAUUCAUUCCUUCUAUCAAACGAGACUUAGAAUGCACAUAAGAUGAAUAUAAUAUCAGGUUUCAGUUAAGAAUCUGAACCUUGACAUUCUAUUUUUCUCACCAAAUUAAAUAACUUUAUAUCUUCGAAAUUUUAGAAACAAUUACUUAUAAAUACUCUUAAAUUUAACCUUUCAUAUAUUCUUUUUAUUGCUGUCUAAUUUAUGUGCAAUUCAAAACUUUUAAGUGCGAUUGUUUUGUCUCGUUUUUCUUUUCCGUGUGAUGAAAUAACGAAGCUUUAUAAAGAUUAACCGAUUUUUUGAGAUAACUUAUUGAUAGACAGAUAUAGGUGGUCUGAGCUUUUAGAAGUUCGUUCGCUCAAUUCAAAUAAAUUAGGAAAGCUUGAUGCGACGUAGAAAAAACACUUGCAAAGAGAUGCGAGCACUAUUCUUCUAAGGUGUUCAAACUUGAUUAAGGAUUUAUCAAGAAUAAAAUGUCGUUGUAGUUGGAUACUACGAUGUAUCAAUUCAAAGAUUUAUUUAUAAUAAAAAUUCUGAAGAACAGUAAAAAUACAUCUUCGUGUAUUCCUCUGUACUCCAUAUGUAUGUAUCUUUAGUUUUUCCACUGAUGAUUAUUAAUCAUUCGUAUCAUCAAAAAUAUGAAAGAUAAUAACGAUAAAGAAACGAGGGUAAAGGUAAGGAUUCACAACAUAAGUGGAAAUAAUAAAAUGAAAUGCGAGAUUCGUUCAACAACAGAGUCUAAUUUAAUAACAAAAUAUGAACGCUGCAUUUGUAAUAAAAUUAACCGUAAUUAUAAUAAUCGUUAAAAUAAUAUUAAUAAUAAAAUAAUAACUAUGGCGGCGUACAUAAUCGGUUGAGAUAAUCGUAAUUAAUAUAGGUAACGAAUCCUAAUAUCGAAGAGAGCGAAGCGUACGAGAUAGAUCGCGUUACAAAAUUAUGAUAACGAACUAAUAAAUGAUUUUUUU